GCCGGCCUGGCGCAAUUGGUAGCGCACCCGACUUGUAAUCGGAAGGUUAGGGGUUCAAGUCCCCUGGUCGGCUCCA
rnacentral:tRNA from 3 species